rnacentral:rRNA from 1 species
CGGACGGGAGAGUAAUAUAUCGGAACGUCGCCAGUAGUGGGGGAUAACUCUACGAAAGAGCAGCUAAUACCGCAUACGACCUGAGGGUGGAAAGGGGGGGAUCGCAAGACCUCUCGCUAUUGGAGCGGCCGAUAUCAGAUUAGCUAGUUGGUGGGGUAAAGGCCUACCAAGGCAACGAUCUGUAGUUGGUCUGAGAGGACGACCAGCCACACUGGGACUGAGACACGGCCCAG